rnacentral:rRNA from 1 species
AUGAUUGGGAGGUGGCAUGAACAAAGUAAAGCGGAAGAAAGCGAGCUUGGACGAUGGGUGGCGGCACCAACCUGCAAUUGUUUUGUGUCGGUCAAAGCAGGGGAGGUGUUAGGCACGAACCAAUCAACUAGGGCUUCUUGCUUUGACUCUCUUGCCGAGCUAGGAAAAUUGAGGGAGAGGGGAGGGGGUGUGAGAGUGAGGGUGAGAAAGAGAGAAAUAGCGAGGGUGGGAGAGAGAAGUGGACGGAGAGAGAGAGAGAUGGAGGAGCUGAAUAAGCUAAAAGGAGGUCCCAUAUACCAUCAACCUGAUGAUGAAGAAACUUUAGCUAAUUGUGAUCUCGAGAUCCUGGAGAAUCCACCUGACGUAGUCAGAGACAAACGUCCUGCCCCAAUCACUAUCAUGCCCAUGGACCAACGUGAAUUACUUGCCAGCCUAUGCAACUACAUCAUGUCGAUCGAUGAUGCCGGGUGUUUGGAGAAGGAAUGGGUCCGGAGCUCGACACCCCAUCCAAUGAGCUCAAGUCUUAAGAAACUCCAGUGCAUACUUAACAUGGAGCAGCCUAUGGACAAUGAUUGCUUCAACACCGCUGUGCGUAUACUGGCAUGUGACGAGGGAGUAUUGUUCACAGACCCUCCUAUACACUACAUGGAUCUAAGAUUUUGUUCCAUGAUACUAGAGUCAACACGAGGUCAGAAGUUUUGCGAGAAGGAAACUAUCCAGACGUUGGCAACAUUAUUUGAUAGCUGGCCUGUGAUAGACAAAGACAUCUCAUCGUGCAACAUGAUUUAUCUUCCCUAUGCAUCCAUCGACCGAUACAUCUUGUACAUCAUCGACAAAGAGGCACGUCGUCUAUAUAUUAUGGACCCUAUUCAAACAUCACAACCGCCAGAGGAUAAAAAUUUGAGUCAUGCACUAAAAUUAAAAAGUUUUGCAAGAGAUUUCAAAGAAGCACUCGAAAUAAAGCUGCCUGAUUGGAAUUCCGAUAUAUCUAAAUGGCAACCUUUAUUUCCGUUUGGUAUUCCAACGAGUAUAGACGGGUAA